rnacentral:lncRNA from 1 species
GACAGAUUCAUUCGAUCCAACAAACCUAGUCCGACGCUCUAACCUCCAGGCUACCUGCCGCGCCCCUGCUGCAUGCAGACAUGAGCUGAGGUUCAUCAUGAACAGCUUAGUGCAUUGCUUGUUUCUCCCCAACACUCUGUUCCCUGUGGCUAUUCCCCCCCUCCCUGCACUGUAGUCUACACACACGGCCAGUGUAUCCAUCCGUCUCUUUGUUAGAGUCUCUGCCCACCCAACUAUAGAGGUAUUGCUCAUGACCUCCUGUAGGAGCUAAUAGACCCAAUUACACAGAGAGAGAGAGAGAGAUGCAUAAAAGGUAGUGAGAGAGCAGGAAGAGAGAGCAGGAAGAGAGAGCAGAAAAAGAGAGAAGGGAGAGAGAGCAGGAAGAGAGAGCAGGAAGAGAGAGCAGGAAGAGAGAGCAAGAGAGCAGGAAGAGAGAGCAGGAAGAGAGAGCAGGAAGAGAGCAGGAAGAGAGAGCAGGAAGAGAGAGCAGGAAGAGAGCAGGAAGAGAGAGCGGGAAGAGAGAGCAGGAAGAGAGAGAGCAGGAAGAGAGCAGAAGAGAGAGAGAGCAGGAAGAGAGAGAGAGCAGGAAGAGAGAGCAGGAAGAGAGAGAGAGAGAGAGCAGGAAGAGAGAGAGAGCAGGAAGAGAGAGAGAGCAGGAAGAGAGAGAAGGGAGAGAGAGCAGGAAGAGAGAGAGAGAGAGAGCAGGAGAGAGAGAGAGCAGGAAGAGAGAGAAGGGAGAGAGAGCAGGAAGAGAGAGAAGGGAGAGAGAGCAGGAAGAGAGAGAGAGCAGGAAGAGUGAGAAGGGAGAGAGAGCAGGAAGAGAGAGAGAGCAGGAAGAGAGAGAGAGCAGGAAGAGAGAGCAGGAAGAGAGAGAAGAGAGAGAGCAGGAAGAGAGAGAGCAGGAAGAGUGAGAAGGGAGAGAGAGCAGGAAGAGAGAGAGAGCAGGAAGAGAGAGAGAGCAGGAAGAGAGAGAAGGAGAGAGAGAGCAGGAAGAGAGAGAGAGCAGGAAGAGAGAGAGAGCAGGAAGAGAGAGAGAACAGGAAGAGAGAGAUGCACAAACCCAUUGAGAGACAGAACAAGAGUAGAGCAUUCCAUCAUUCAAUAACAACCACUCCAAAAAACUGGAAAGCAUAAAGUACCAGAACCUAUAAACCCCUAAAGAGAGACCGUGAGUGUCUGUGUCUCACAGACCCAUAAACUAGAAGAGCAGGGGGCAUAAAACCAUUACAACCUGAGAUGCCACUAAACACCAGCACUUAGCAGGUCAUUAUGAGGGAGAACUCACACUCUCAACAGUUGAGAAGGAGAGGAGAAGAGGAGAGGAGAGAAGAGGAGAGGAAAGGAGGUGGAGCGGAG